rnacentral:rRNA from 1 species
UACGUAGGGGGCAAGCGUUGUCCGGAUUUACUGGGCGUAAAGAGCGCGCAGGCGGUCGUCCAAGUCGCGUGUGAAAGCCCCCGGCUCAACUGGGGAGGGUCACGCGAUACUGAUCGACUCGAAGGCAGGAGAGGGAAGUGGAAUUCCCGGUGUAGUGGUGAAAUGCGUAGAUAUCGGGAGGAACACCAGUGGCGAAGGCGACUUCCUGGCCUGUUCUUGACGCUGAGGCGCGAAAGCUAGGGGAGCAAACGGGG